rnacentral:rRNA from 1 species
UACGUAGGGAGCAAGCGUUGUCCGGAAUCAUUGGGCGUAAAGCGCGUGUAGGCGGCCCGGUAAGUCCGCUGUGAAAGUCGGGGGCUCAACCCUCGGAUGCCGGUGGAUACUGUCGGGCUUGAGUACGGAAGAGGCGAGUGGAAUUCCUGGUGUAGCGGUGAAAUGCGCAGAUAUCAGGAGGAACACCGAUUGCGAAGGCAGCUCGCUGGGACGUUACUGACGCUGAGACGCGAAAGCGUGGGGAGCAAACAGG